AUGUCCGAUCCAGAGAAGGCUCCUUGUUCCCUCGCCUAUCCACCAGAAUGGGACGCCAUGACCGCAGAUGAGCAGAUGAUGUGGUUUCUCGCACAACUAUCGGCGCAGCUCGAUAGCAUCAGGUCCGAAUUCGCGUCCGCGCACGGGGGCGAUCCUGCCGGGGCUACAUCACGAGUCUAUCCGCCUGCCUCCCCUGCUACUGCUACUGCUACCUCUACGGACGCCGCGGUUUUGUCUCACACCGAUCGCGCAACCAUGACUGCUUCACCCACCAUCGACAAGGAGGUCCACGACAAAUGCCCUGAGUCUUCCCUCGACAACAACCGUUGCCUCCCCGACACGAGCAUGGACGAGCACACAUGGGUGGCGGUGAUUCCAGAAGUCGUCACCGAGCUCACCGUCCUUCCCGGCGUCCCCUCCUCAACCACCGAGGCCCAGGUGGUCCUGUCGUUGAUGGAGUCCUCGGACACAUCGUGGAGGCCCAUGACCUGUUCGACAGAAUGCUUGAAGCAGGACAACGGCACAGGGGCGUUCCCACCUCUAGUCAUGACAGUGCCGCUGCUUCCAGCAGCCUCCCCGGCGCCCGUCAUGGACUCUGCUCAUCGUACCAUUGAUGGCGAUUCUAUCCUACGGGUGCCCCUGGCCAAGGAGGACGUGCUUCUGCUCACCCAAGCCCCUUGCAUGGUUUCAGCUGUCACUUCUCUGCAGCUACUCGUGAACCAUGACUUGGACGACUCCCUGCCAACAAAGUGUUCGCAAGUCUGCCUCAGUGACACACCUAUGUCCUCACUAAGGAUGAUGGUGUCUUCGUGCAUCAGGCACGAGACGCUAGUGCUACGGCCGACGCCGUGGCCAUCGCUUUUGAAGGAUUCCACAGAGGGAUACAAGGUACGACCUGUUCCGUGGCCGUCUUUCAAGUUUCAUUUAGAUGCAAGUUAUCAGGAGGAGCCAUGUUCAAGUAUACGUCGUCAACCACAUGAUAUUUUAUGGUUCAGUUCUGGACUCGUUUUGAGGUUAUUCAGAGAUGUGGUUUUCCCUCAAGUUUGUUGUUGUGAGAUGAUUUCCAUGGAAGAAUCUUGUAGUUGUUUGUCGAGUGCACAGCUGCCGUCUUGGCGUCCACCGGAUCAUGCAACAUUUGAUGCUAAACAGUCCAGCUCAGGAGGUCACAGCCAAAUAGUGUUCUAUCCAUGUUGUAGAGUGCAAUCACAUGAAGUUGCCGAAUGGUGUGCCCAUCUUUAUGCUUCCACUGAAUUUUAUCUGGAGAUGUUUGCUUGCUGUUGCCUCAUACUGCCAAGAGAUAUUCCUAUCCUGAAUCACCCAAUAAUGCAAGUUAUGGGCAAUCUGCACCUGAGUGAUGUGGAAGGGCAGUCAGCUAUCUGUUUUGUGCAGUUCUCUUGUCAACUUCAUGCUCAAAAUGCGGAACAAAAGUUCAGAUUGAGUCCAAAAAAUGUUCAGCCAAAGCUACAAUAUUUUGCCUGUGAUUGUCGAGCAGUACGUGUGUUAUCAGAACUACUCAAAACUGAGCUCUCUGAUAAAUUUUGGAACUUGUCCGAGCAUCGCAUUCUGGACCAUGCUACUGUAGGUAGUGUUCCUAUGAGCGACAAAUUGCAAAGGAAUAUUCAGCUUAUAAGCUUGUCAGUGCACCGGAAAAAUUUGAGCCAAGAGGAAUUUAACGGGAGUGUCCAUUUCACUCGAGGAUGCAAUUCUGACCAUCAUGGCGAUUGCUUUCAUGAUGUUAUUCUCAGUAUAUGCAACACAUAUAUUCCUGAAUCCUCAUUCGCCAAAUUUCAGGCUUUAAAAAAACGUGAUUGUGAGCAUCUUAUAUCAACCGGGGCUUGUAAUAUAUUCAUGGACAAGGGAUGUCUCAAAUGUCGCAUGGUUCAUAAAGAAAGUGAUUCAACCAUGCUGCAAACACCAAGGAUUCAGUGUGUACAGCCGAGAUGCUACUUUGAGGUUGGCUCUACUCAAACAAAUCUGAAACUGAAGGUAGUCGACGCCGCUGUUAUUUAUAUGUGUGAGCAUAGAAACAAUUGGGAUUGGGAGUUGCUUAUCCAUUUCAAGCGUCCACCUGAUCCAACAAGUAUUUGGGAGUGCAUCACUGACCGACGCUUUCCUCAGGACCAAAUCUUACUGAUGAUUUUUCAUUCAUGGCCACCAACUCAUUUUACUUAUCUAAUGGGGGUCUGCUGCUGUGGCAGCUGGCCAGUUGCUCAGGAAACAUCUUGUCUUGGAACAUUUCCUACACAUGCAGGUUGUCUGAUCUAUAUGGAUUUUAUCAACAUGGCAUUGUCGGGUUCAGAGGUGAUACACGGGAUGCAAUUUAACUACAAGGGGUUGCUGUCAUAUUCAUUUUGUGUACUCCAGCCACAGGAAGGUACUGAAUAUCUUGUCCAUGGCAACAUUUCUUCUGAAUUUUAUUUCAGGAAGUUUGCAUUGGUGAGGAAGCUGGAUAGCAGUGGUUUAACUAGUUCAGUGGAAGAGCUCAAAUAUGAUACAUCAGUAUGGCGUCGAGAGGACUGCAAGUGUGUUACUUUGAUACUACUCAGCAAUGAAGAAGCACCGACUUCGAGUGUGACUCAACUUGUGCACAGUCGUUUCAAUGGGUUUGCGAGUUCUUGUCUGGUGAUAUCUCCAGUUCAUGGAUUCAAUUAUCUGAUGGCCAGUGCGCCAACUGUCAAUUGGGUUGUGGAGUUUGGGGCUUUUCUCUUUAGCAAGUUACCCCACACAUCCUUCUGUUUACCAUCAGUCCAACCAAAACACCCAUGGUCAUCCCCUGUUGCAGCCAUGUUCACUCAGCAGCUCUUGUUUCCCAUGACGACUACUACUGGAUUCGUGACUCUUCUGAAGAUUUAUGCAAGAUUGUGUGAAGUUAAGAUUGCUCAUUUGCUUGGUAGUAAAUUAGCUACUGCACGUCACCUUGAGCAGUCCUGGGAUCCUGGCCCCGGAGACAAGACACUGUCAGUUCAGAUUUCUCACCCAUGGGGAGACAAUACUCGCUGCCGAAUAUUGUUUCAUAAUGGCCAACAUGUGGUGAAUGCAAUGCAGUUCAAUUCUGGCUGCCACAAAGAACAUUUUCAGGGAAGAAACAGUCCUAGUUUUGUGCCAUCGCCUCAUUUACAAACGUCGACGAUUCUGAUGGUGCACAUAAUUAGCAAGGGACCACCGGCCAUGAGCGGUAAGUUAUCCUCUACAGGCUACAAUCAAGAUCAUUUUCAAGAAGGGGGAGGAGUCAUCAUGGUCGUUGCCGUCUUCACGCAACGCCUCGUGGGCCAUGAGCACUACCUUGGCUUCUACGACGACUCUGAUCUUGUCCAGGAACAUCGAGUGCACUGGGACCCGGGUGGUUGGCGGUGGUCGGCUUGGGGUCAAGCCGCAUUUCAAGAAGGGGGGGAUGUUAGGAGCCUACAUGGGCCUGCCCCUUCGACUAGCACAUGGGCCAGGCCGGGCCGUGCACCACGCCGAGCAAUACAGACUACAAGUACCAGCAUAGGAGGAGCGGACUAA
rnacentral:rRNA from 1 species